ensembl:lincRNA
CAUUUCCCACUUAGGCUGCUAUUUCCAGGGAAUGAUUAUUUGAUUGUAACAUUUGUUCCAGGCAGCAACGGGCCAAGGAGAGGUCUUAGCUCAAAAGCACCUUCCACCUACUUAAAAGCAACAGCCACCACAGCGUACUCAAUUUAAAAUGAUGGAAAUCAACAACAAAAACCUCAGAUAUUUUGAGUUCUGGAGGACAGAAAGGGUUGUUUUGACAAUGGCGUGAAGUUUAUGACUGCGGGUCAUCAAGAGUUCAUUGUCUGGCAUUCUGGCAUGGGCAUGAUUGAAGGAGCUGCCAAAACAUCACUGAGCACAAAUCUGGAAGAUGGAAUAAGUGGAGACAGGAGGUCUCAAUCAGCUCUCUCCUUUUUGGGAGUUUGCGCACUGAGGAGAGCAGGGUUGGCAGCAGCAAGAGAGAGAAAGAGGGAGAAUCGGAGGACGGACCUGAGUUUCACACCAAGCAGCAGAUCUGAGGCAGCAUGA